UACAGAGGGUGCAAGCGUUAAUCGGAAUUACUGGGCGUAAAGCGUGCGCAGGCGGUUAUGCAAGACAGAUGUGAAAUCCCCGGGCUCAACCUGGGAACUGCAUUUGUGACUGCAUGGCUAGAGUGCGGCAGAGGGGGAUGGAAUUCCGCGUGUAGCAGUGAAAUGCGUAGAUAUGCGGAGGAACACCGAUGGCGAAGGCAAUCCCCUGGGCCUGCACUGACGCUCAUGCACGAAAGCGUGGGGAGCAAACAGG
rnacentral:rRNA from 1 species